rnacentral:rRNA from 1 species
UACGUAGGGUGCAAGCGUUGUCCGGAAUUAUUGGGCGUAAAGAGCUCGUAGGCGGUCUGUCGCGUCUGCUGUGAAAACCUAGGGCUUAACUCUGGGCGUGCAGUGGGUACGGGCAGGCUAGAGUGCGGUAGGGGAGACUGGAAUUCCUGGUGUAGCGGUGAAAUGCGCAGAUAUCAGGAGGAACACCGGUGGCGAAGGCGGGUCUCUGGGCCGUAACUGACGCUGGAGGAGCGAAAGCAUGGGGAGCGAACAGG